ACAUAUGGUGUUAUCAUAUUGAAUGCUCUGCUUCUUGUUGUUCAUUGAAGUUAAGCAAGAUCUAGCCUGGUUAGUACAUAGAUGGGUGACCACUUGAGAAAUCUAGCUGCUGUGAGGA
rnacentral:rRNA from 1 species